rnacentral:rRNA from 1 species
AUUGAACGCUGGCGGAAUGCUUUACACAUGCAAGUCGAACGAUGAACCUUAGCUUGCUAAGGGGAUUAGUGGCGAACGGGUGAGUAAUAUAUCGGAACGUGCCUUGUAAUGGGGGAUAACUAGUCGAAAGAUUAGCUAAUACCGCAUACGCCCUGAGGGGGAAAGUAGGGGAUCUUCGGACCUUACGUUAUAAGAGCGGCCGAUAUCUGAUUAGCUAGUUGGUGGGGUAAUGGCCUACCAAGGCGACGAUCAGUAGCUGGUCUGAGAGGACGACCAGCCACACUGGAACUGAGACACGGUACAGACUCCUACGGGGGGAAGCAGUGGGGAAUUUUGGACAAUGGACGAAAGCCUGAUCCAGCCCUACCGCGUGAGUGAAGAAGGACUUCGGGUUGUAAAGCUCUUUAGCAAGGGAAGAAAAAUUGCCAUCGAAUAAAUGGUGAGGCUGACGGUACCUGGAGAAGAAGCACCGGCUAACUACGUG